AGUAAUAUGUCUGAUUAAAAGUAAUAAAUUGUAAAUUUAUUUAUAGAAUAUUAAUUCUUAUUACUA
rnacentral:tRNA from 1 species